AGAGUUUGAUCAUGGCUCAGGACGAACGCUGGCGGCGUGCCUAAUACAUGCAAGUCGAGCGCGGGAAGCGGACUGACCUCCUUCGGGAGUGACGUCCGUGGAACGAGCGGCGGAUGGGUGAGUAACACGUGGGCAACCUGCCUGUGAGAUCGGGAUAACUUGCGGAAACGUGAGCUAAUACCGGAUAAAGCUUCACAUCUCCUGGUGUGAAGAUGAAAGACGGCUCUGCUGUCACUUACAGAUGGGCCCGCGGCGCAUUAGCUAGUUGGUGGGGUAAAGGCCUACCAAGGCGACGAUGCGUAGCCGACCUGAGAGGGUGAUCGGCCACACUGGGACUGAGACACGGCCCAGACUCCUACGGGAGGCAGCAGUAGGGAAUCUUCCGCAAUGGACGAAAGUCUGACGGAGCAACGCCGCGUGAGUGAUGAAGGUUUUCGGAUCGUAAAACUCUGUUGUCAGGGAAGAACAAGUUUGAGAGUAACUGCUCAGACCUUGACGGUACCUGACCAGAAAGCCACGGCUAACUACGUGCCAGCCGCCGCGGUAAUAC
rnacentral:rRNA from 1 species